GGUUAAUAUUCCCGUACUUGGUGUUACUGCGAAGGGGGGACGGAGAAGGCUAUGUUGGCCGGGCGACGGUUGUCCCGGUUUAAGCGUGUAGGUGUGUGUUCCAGGUAAAUCCGGUUCACUUUAACACUGAGGCGUGACGACGAGGCACUACGGUGCUGAAGCAACAAAUGCCCUGCUUCCAGGAAAAGCCUCUAAGCAUCAGGUAACAUCAAAUCGUACCCCAAACCGACACAGGUGGUCAGGUAGAGAAUACCAAGGCGCUUGAGAGAACUCGGGUGAAGGAACUAGGCAAAAUGGUGCCGUAACU
rnacentral:rRNA from 1 species